rfam:Picea glauca, whole genome shotgun sequence.
GAACAUCACUUGGACAUGGGUUAGUCGAUCCUAAGAGAUGGGGAAUCCUUGUAUCAAGGGUGCACUCUGCAUGAACAUUGAAAGAGAAUUGGGUUAAUAUUCUCGAACUGGGACAUGGUGGUGGACAACAAUGUUAGGAAAUUUGGAGAUGUCAUCAGGGGCCUGGGAAGAGUUAUCUUUUCUUUUUAACGACUUUUCCACCCUGAAAUCAGUUCAACCGAAGAUAGGGUCCAACAUAUGGAAGAGGACCACACAUCUUGUGGUGUUUUGUGCCCCCUCAGUGGCCAUUGAAAAUAUGGAGAACCGAGUACCAUCCAUGCCCGAUUGUACUCAUAUCUGCCUCC